rnacentral:lncRNA from 1 species
CAAAUGGCUUCCACAGAACACUGGAAGGCAGAAGACAAUGGAAUGAUGCCUCCAAAAUUCCAACCUACCCACCUACACUAUCAAUCAAGUGUGAAGACUAAAAAAAGCAUUUCUGACAUGAGGUUUUAAAUUUUUACUUCUUAAGCAAGCUUUUUUAGAAAGCUACUUAAAUAUGUUCUUCACCAAAAUCAGGACAUAAAGAGGGAGGCAUGCUUUCUAGGAAAAAGAACUCAACACUACAAACAUGCAAGUCCUAGGAUGAUUGUCAUACACCAUGCCAAAACAAGAAAUCAAGACAGAGGCUAAGAGAGAGAAAUUCUCAAUUUAAAACAAAGAAAAAUGUGCUUGAAAAGGCCACUAAUUGAUCGAGGUUGUGGAGUCACCGGAGCUGGCAAAUCCCCCAUUAAAAAUCCAGUGUAUCCAAAUCAUGAGCAGCAUCUUGUGACCCUAGAAGAAAUAAAUGAUACCACCUUGAACACAAAUAUAAUCAUCUUGAACUUUUAUAUAAAUUUCUACAGCAAUUCUGUUAUUAAAAAAAAAAGACCAACAACUUGGAAGGACCUUAGUCCAACUUUCUGAAGGGCAAUUUGAUAACAGUCAUCCUACAUAAACUCCUGGACUCUGAAAUCCUACUUCUAAAAAUUUGUCCUAAAAGUUAUAGAUGUUGCAAAGAUUAGCUGUAAGGAUGUUCACCAUAGUAUUGUUUGUAAUAUAAACAAAACAAAAACAAAAGAACACUAAAAGCCCAAUAAUAGCUGUUGCAUUAAAUAAAAA